UGCACGAAGCCGGAAUCGCUAGUAAUCGCAGAUCAGCAUGCUGCGGUGAAUACGUUCCCGGGUCUUGUACACACCGCCCGUCACACCAUGGGAGUCGGAAAUGCCCGAAGUCAGUGGCCCAACCGCAAGGAGGGAGCUGCCGAAGGCAGGUCCGGUGACUGGGGUGAAGUCGUAACAAGGUAUC
rnacentral:rRNA from 1 species